UGCUGUCUUGAGGGGUUGUCACAAAGAAGAAAGGGGCAACCUAUUCUCCAAAGCAACCGAGGGCAGGACAAGAAGCUAUGGAUGGAAACUUAUCAAAGAGAAAUCCAACCUACAACUAAGAUGAAAUUUCCUAACAGUGAGAACAAUUAACACUGGUCUACAAGGAGAAAGCCUUGGAAAUGAAUUAAUUUUACCAGAAUUGGGACACUAAUAAAGGAAAAUGGGAUCAUCCCUGGGGAGAUUCCAGCAGAAAUCGGAAAGCAUGGAUGGACUCCAUUUCCCUUGGUAUCAUUUCUCCAUGCCUGCGAUAUCCUGAUGGAAUUUCUUCCCAUGCUCACUGCCCCACAGUUCAAAGGGAGAUAGUCUAAAUGGGCAAAAAGGUUUAAAGAAUAAACAAAAUGUCUCCUGAAUUGAUCUUCAUCUUCUCCACCAUUAUAUGGCCCUUCCUC